AUGUCAAUAGAAGUGUCAGCCAUAUUUGAUGUUGUGUUUAAAUUUGAAUGUCCAGUCUUCUCAGUUCUCACAUGCAGCCUUUUAUUUUCUGAAGGUUAAAACAAUUUCACAGACGAGGUAUGCUACAAUGCAUUCUACGGUUCUACCCACCAUUACUCACCAUCUCUUCACUUGCAUUUGAAAUCUCAACAACGGGCCUUGUUUUGAUUUUUCUGCAGCUCUGAUUUUUUUCUUUCUCAACUUCAGUUUGAAAUCUCAACAACAGAUUUUUUGCAGCAACUUCAUUUUGAAAUCUCAGCUUUGGUAGUAUAAUAAUGGAGAUGAACAAAUUUCUUACCCUCCAUUCAUCCAAUCCCUUCAAAACCCAUAGAACCAGGCUCAAAGUUUGGACUAUGGCGAGAUUUCAAAACAUUCCUUUUGCUGAAAAGUUGCCAAACUGUUCGGUAAGCCGAACGCCUCCUCCUUGUGACCUUCCUCCGCGCUACUUUCUCCCAUUACAUUAUACGAUUUGUAGCCACAACCUUCUUUUGUGGAGGCAUUGUAGAUGUGGUUCUUCAGGAGUUUCAGUUAUUUUGCUUCUGUCUGUUCUCUUAUCUUAUGAGCAACUUUUAGAUUUUCUCUUUUGCUAAUUAGCUUUCUACAAAGGGAACAAGUACCAUUUGAGUUAAACUUGCUGAUUAUUAAACUUGUAUUACAACAGUGUUUGUAAACCAUAUCACAAUUUAUGUUGGUUAUUAAUUUGAUGCCUUGAGAAACAAAUAUUUGUGUAAAGUACUGUUAGGUUCUUUCCUCACAGCAUUUCUUGGGUCUUAUUUUCUGGUGGUUUCAUUGUCAUUCUUGUGCUGAUCUCUUAUCUGGUCAAAACUAGUGGUAGGACUGAGAGCUCAAUCAAAUCCAUAGCAUUUAAUUUUUGGGUUGUGCAGGAUUAUAUUUCUAGCUUAUUAGCAUAUUGGCGUGCUAAAAUGCCAUGAGUUAGGUAGUAUGGUUAUCUGAAUAAUGUAGGACACAAGCUCUGGUUUCAAAUCUGAUGUUAACUUAUUUUAGGGUUUAUGACAUGCUACGGCUAGCAUUUUGGUGGAAACUUGGGGUUUUUAGGGUUGUGGUUUUGUAGUGAAAAGAAUUUGAGGCAAAACAAAGGGGAAAGCUAAGUCUACGCUGAUGCUCCUGGCUUGUGAACAGUAAUCCGAGAAGGUUAAUUAGGAGCUAUUUGAUGGAUAGGUGAUUUGGGGUUCUUUGGGAUUGGACGCUAAUUAAGGAACUAAUGUAUGAAAUUCAGAUUCAAUAUCGUUUGGAAUCUGAAACAAAAUUGUUGAAAACUGAUAAGAAAAAAAAAAAGAAAAAAACCCAUUAAAAUGCUUAUUCAUUGGCAUCUAAUGCCUAACCCUAAUGGACUUGGACUCUUUGCAUUUUAACUACUAAAGCCCCAAAACCAAAUAACUAUGAAAACCACAAAUAAAACCCAAGACAAAAUCUAAUGCACUCAUAUUACCCCUAAAUUCUGAAAAUUAUAAAAACAUACAAACUCUUAAAAUUGAAUAAAACUGGAAGGGGAAACUAGAUUUACCUCUUCAAAUUAUCACUCGUUUGCAUAGUCCUCCACAUGCAACUACUCCAAAAAGUUGCAACGAACCUUACCAAUCUCUGCCAACCCUAUCAUUUAAAUUUUUUCAUUAAAUUAAACGCUUAAAGCAUCACGGGUAUACCCCUAUUACAUUUAUUAAAAUACAACUAUGCUCUUGGAUUAUAAUAUGCAAUAUAAACCAAGGAAUGAGUCUCCCUGUCCCUUAUUGUUUUUGCUUCUAUCUUGCAUCAUUUCCACUCAUUUGAAUUUCUAUCUCUUUAAACUUUUCUUUUUUGAUAUUUCAAUUACUUAUAAAUAAAUAAAAGUUCUCUAAUUGUGUGGUCU